AAGUGCAGCAAUGCAUGGAGCUGACUGCUACUAACCGGCCGAGGGCUUGACCA
rnacentral:rRNA from 1 species